CUAAAAAGAUCUCGGAUACCCACGGUAAUUCUGAGGCUAAUACGUAUACGUAGCUUGGGCCUCCAGGACAGGGCGCCCUCCGCAAGGGGGGCGCCUGGGCUAGUCGCUUGUUGCCGGGGGGUCCCGCAAGGGGUCCGCUGUCAUGAUGGCAGGCUAGUGCACCACACUGCGGGGGCGAUAUGUCCCGUAGGGUGCGCCAAGGGAGCCAGCCCUAUUAACUAGGUGUCCGGGUAAGGCCCGGCCGCGGUGAUAACGGGUACAGAGGAUCAGGGUUCGGUCCUGGAGAGGAAGCCUGAGAGAUCGCUUCUACUUCUAAGGAAGGCAGCAGGCGCGCAACGUUCCCAAUGGGGAUACCCUGAGGACGUGAGGGGAUAUAGCAAUGCCCCGCCCAUAAAGCGGGGCAAUUGCAAUGGGGGUCCACUAAACCCUCCACCGAGUAACAAUUGGAGGACAAG
rnacentral:rRNA from 1 species